UACGGAAGGUCCGGGCGUUAUCCGGAUUUAUUGGGUUUAAAGGGAGCGUAGGUGGACAGUUAAGUCAGUUGUGAAAGUUUGCGGCUCAACCGUAAAAUUGCAGUUGAUACUGGGUGUCUUGAGUACAGUAGAGGCAGGCGGAAUUCGUGGUGUAGCGGUGAAAUGCUUAGAUAUCACGAAGAACUCCGAUUGCGAAGGCAGCCUGCUAAGCUGCAACUGACAUUGAGGCUCGAAAGUGUGGGUAUCAAACAGG
rnacentral:rRNA from 1 species